CUACGGGAGGCUGCAGGCACGGAACCUUUACAAUGCACGCAAGUGUGAUAAGGGAAUUCCAAGUGCUUUGUCAAUGACAAGGCUUUUUUUAAGUGUAAGGAGCUUGAAGAAUAAGUGGUGGGCAAGACUGGUGCCAGCCGCCGCGGUAACACCAGCGCCACAAGUGGUGAUCACAUUUAUUGGGUCUAAAGCGUCCGUAGCCGGUUUAGUAAAUUUCUUGUGAAAUUGUUAGGCUCAACCUAACGGCGUGCAAGAAACACUGCUUUACUUGAGACCGGGAGGAGACAAAGGUAUUCCGGGGGGAGCGGUAAAAUGUUAUAAUCCUCGGAGGACCACCAAUGGCGAAGGCAUUUGUCUAGAACGGUUCUGACGGUGAGGGACGAAAGCUAGGGGAGCAAAAUGGAUUAGAUACCCGCGUAGUC
rnacentral:rRNA from 1 species